UACGUAGGGUGCAAGCGUUGUCCGGAAUUAUUGGGCGUAAAGAGCUCGUAGGCGGUUUGUCGCGUCUGCUGUGAAAACCUAGGGCUUAACUCUGGGCGUGCAGUGGGUACGGGCAGGCUAGAGUGCGGUAGGGGAGACUGGAAUUCCUGGUGUAGCGGUGAAAUGCGCAGAUAUCAGGAGGAACACCGGUGGCGAAGGCGGGUCUCUGGGCCGUAACUGACGCUGAGGAGCGAAAGCAUGGGGAGCGAACAGG
rnacentral:rRNA from 1 species